AAAACUUGUAUCACGUAGAGUAACCAUAGUAACCACGGUCCACGGAUGACAGGUUUUGUAAUCAGUUCGUCUGUCAACCAAAAAGUCGCCAGUAAGGUUUCAUGUAUGUAUACUUUUUUACUUUGCCAUUGUUUGUAGCUUCUUAUGCCCAUUUAAAGAAUUGACAAGGAUGUCAGUCUGUGUGCCAGAAAGGUUUUUAAUAAUCUCAAGGUCUCUGAAGAAUCAUGGCAUGGCUUAUUUUUAAAAAAGGUGCUACAGAAUCAGAUAUCAAUAGCAACAGUAAUUUAAAAGCCAAGUUAGUGGAUAUAGCUGAACAAUAAAUUAGACAAAGACUGAAAAAUAAAUUGUAUGAAAAAUGGGGAAACCACCAAAUUGUGAACUGAUAUCUAAAAUGUUGGUGCAGUCUGCAGCUAUGGAGGAAAGAGAAAUCAAAGUGUGUCAGUGGCUAGCCUCCUUAACAGAGAAAGUAAUUCAUAUGGAUACACAGUAUUCAAAACAGCUGGAAGCAUUAAAGACAGAAAUGAAGUUCAAGGUUAUUUUCUUUUCAUCAUAGUUCACUGUUUUGCUUUGUCAUUUAGCGUUUGGGUACAUUUAGGUUUAAGUGUACAUAGUUUAUACAUUCACUUAGAAUCCUAUUUUUAAAUAGAAAUUUCCAAGGUAAAUGAAUGAAUUAUGAUUCACUUUGUAGACUGUUUGAGUGCCAUGUUAAGAGCUGCCAUUUUACUAAGCUUAAUUACAUGUUAGAGUGUUAGGUAUCACAAAAUAGCAAGGAUAAACAUUGGAAUCAAACUUAACAAUGGAGACUCAACUACUAAUCUAACUAUAUUCAAUUAAACAACCCUAAACUUAAAUUCAUAGAUACACAGGUUUGCUAUUUGUUGUUUCAUAGUGCUUGUAUUAAUCUUCUUUUCACAGACUACAAAUACAAUCAGCUGCCAUCAACCACAACAGUGCCACAAUUGGUUGUCAUAAGAAAAGGAUCUUGGUUUUUCAUAAAGCCACAACACAGUCAUGGUAUAGGAGUUAUAUGGUACGCGUACUCGAGAGGGCGAAAGUGGGACAAAAAUUGGAAUCGUCUAUUUUGGCAACUCUGGCCGGGUGUGUAACUAGAGGGCCUACUUUAACGUAGGCUCUUAUGGGACUACCCCUUUUGAACUGUUACAUUAAGGUGUUUGAAUUUUUUUUUUCAUUUAGAAAAAUUUUUAUCGUGCGUAGAAUUAAUUUUUAUACAAAGUUCAUUUUUUGGAUUUUAAUUUAAAAUUGUUUGUAUAAUUUAAAAAAAAUAAAAAUGGUCCAAGAAUUUCAGAAAGUCUUUAACUUUCCACUUCUGCUAGACUGUUCCACAUUAUUAAUAUAUAAUGCGGAAUUUGUUCUUUGGAGCAGUUACAUUUGCGUCUCGUAAAUGGACGUAGAUUGUUUACAUUUUGGCUGGUCGAUUCGCCAUUGUUUGCAGCCCUAAUUUAUAAUAUAAUAAUAAUAAUUAAAUUGUUGUCGUUUGAUCUUAAAACAAUUUAUUUGAGAUGAGCAGUGCAUUCACCAUGGCAAUCACUUCCAAAGAACAAAUUCCGCUUUUUAUAUAUAAUGUGGAACAGUCUAGCAGAAGUGGAAAGUUAAAGACUUUCAUAAAUUCUUGGACCAUUUUUAUUUUUUUUUAAUUAUACAAGCAUUUUUAAAUUAAAAUCCAAAAAAUGAACUUUGCAUAAAAAUUAAUUCUACGCACGAUAAAAAUUUUUCUAAAUGAAAAAAAAAAUUCAAACACCUUAAUGUAACAAUUCAAAGGGGGUAGUCCCAUAAGAGCCUACGUUAAAGUAGGCCCUCUAGUUACACACCCGGCCAGAGUUGCCGAUGUUGACGAUUCCAAUUUUCGUCCCAUUUUCGCAGUCGACGGCUCUGGGAAGUACGCGUACCAUAUAACUCCUAUACCAUGACACAGUUUUGUUUAACUACCAACAUUUUUAAACAUUAGACAAUAAAGGCAAGACCUGCAGAAUAAGGAAUCAGAAGAUCAGAAUGCUGUCCUGUCAGCUGUUCCAUUUCCCGUGGCUUCGGACUGAGGAUGGAUGUUUAAACGAACGUCUCUCUUCUUGAAAUUUCACUACCGAUUCCGUGUGUUUUGAGCUGCGUCUUGUGAAUUCAAUCAAUGCAGAGUUCUUCAAGCAGGAGCAUGACUUGGCUUUGCUAGCACGUUUUUCAUCUCCAUUAGUCUAAAAUGCACCUAUUUUGUACCAUAAAGUGAUACGUGAAAAAAGUUGUUCUUUAUAAUCUAUUUACCUAUCUAAAUCUCAGAUUCUUGGAGGUGUCUUUAGAAUUUAUUGUUAAUAGCUUAAGUUUUUGUAAUUGUGAUUUCAGGUCUUUGGGAUGUACCUGGUGUACUGUGGUGGCCGCAGAAUCAUUCAGUGACUUAGUUUAAUCCAGGACUUGGUUUUUUUAAAAAGUGGUUUACAGUUUUAAUUUGCAGAGAACCUGAAGGUACCUUAUCCUUAUGUGUUGCAUCGGCGUUGGAAUUACUCGGUGAUAGAAGGGAAGGCCACCAAUGUUAUGUUGUCAGUGUAAAUAAAACAUAUCCAGUAUCA